rnacentral:lncRNA from 1 species
UGCAAAAGCUCUGAUCCUGUCAUACAUUGCCUGACUUCUCAGGCCUUCCUUUGAAAUCUUAGUGGAAGCAUUCAUUACUCCAUAACUCUUGUGUUCUCCAUGCAGCAUCAUGUGGAUGGCACCAAGAUCUGCUGUCACCCAGAGUAAUAGCCAGACUCCCCUGAACCUUGACUACAGUGCCCCUUGAUUGCCUGGCCAGCCAAACAUGGUGAAAUGAAUCUGGAGAACCAUUUCCCUAGAGGUUCCAGUACAUAGCUGGAAGCAUGUGGCAAAGGAAAGCUGCUCACCUCCUGGCAGACCGAGAGGUAAGGGAGGGCUGAGGACAAGACAUACCCUUCUAGUUACACCCCCAGUGACCUACUGCCCCCAACUGGGCUCACCUUUUAACACCCCUUCAGUUAUGAACUCUUCAAUGGGUUAAUCUAUUGAUGAAGUUUUGUGUCCUUGUGAUCCAAUCACCUCUCUAGGCC